rnacentral:lncRNA from 1 species
AGUCGCCGGCUCCCGCGGCCGCGGCCUGGGGGCGGGGAGGGACUGCCGGGGCCGGGGCGCGGGCGCCCCCGCCAAGAGCGGGCCGGGUCACUCAAGCCACUGCCGCGCCAGGGCGGCAGGCCUCGGAGGGUCGGACUCCGUUGCCAUGGCGACCACCAGCCCGGGUUUCUCUGGGACUGGCCGGAGCUCAAGUUUCCCGACCCUUUGUCCCUGCGGAGCACGCGCGUCCCCGGGCGACCGCGUGGCUGGCCUAUGGUCACCGGGGUGUUCGGCCUUAGCUGCCUUAUGAGAGGCUGGGAGCCCGUCGGGAGACUUCAAAGAGGGCUCCGGCAAGCCCCCGGAGCGUCGUUGCCCGGGCCUUUCUCAGGCCGCGCACCCCGGCCGCAGUGCGGACGCUUGCGGCCGCGGCGGUCCCGGGACGGCGGUGGCGCACCUGGAAGGCCCUAGCUUCCGAUUUGUUCCAAAGUGGAGCACAAAAAGGCCCGAUCCUGCGAACUUUGAAAAGGCCUCUCUUCACUCUUUUCUAGAAAUUAAGAAAGAGCAGAAGUUGCUGGGCUUCCUCUGGCUGCGGGCCAAGCGUGGGGCGACGGCCGAGGUGGCCGUUGGCGCACGUGGGGCAUUUCGCUUGGAAAGGCUCAGCAGCCUGUGUGGCGUCUGCGGUGGCAGGUGCGAGCCUGUGCCCAUGACUCACCCACUAGCAGGUGGCCCUGGCUUUCCAAACUAAACACUUCCUGGGGUUUCCAGGGUAGUACAAUUUCAUGUACUUUCAUGCUUUUCAACACAGGCAAUUUUUGAAUUGUAUAAUUAGUCGUAAAAAUACUUUUUAAAUCUAUUGCAUAAAUAGGAAAUAGGGGAACAUAAAACUCAGUUUUACCUCGUAGAGUCAAUUACAUUUAAUAUUUUGGUAUGUUGCCUCCGGUGUUUUCUCUACGUAUAUCCAUGGCAUGUCUGGCAUAAUUGGAAUAAUGCCUUGCGAAGAUGUAUUCUGCCUUCUUCACUUAACACGAUCUUGUGAAUUUUCUUCCAUUUUAUUAGAUAUUCUUUUAAACAUGAUUAUUUAUGGCUGUAUAAAAGGAAUAUAUUUUUUAAAUGUUUUCUAAAUUAUCUUCCAGGAAAACGUAUUAGUUUUCCCUGAGAAAUGCCCAUUUUCCAUAUACUUGACAACACAGACUUUUUUAAAAAAAAAAUUUAGUUUGAAAUGGUUAUUUCUCAUCUUUUGUACUUGCAUUUCUUAGAGUACUAGUUAGCUGGAUUGUUUUUUCACAUGGUUAUUUUUUGCCAGUUUUAUUUUCUCUUGUGAAUUUGUUUAUGUCCAUUUGCCCACUUUUCUAUUUGCCCAUUUUAAAAGUUGGGGAGUUGGUUUAUUGUUUGGGGGGCACUCAUAAAGUACAGGUAUUAAAGACUUGUCAUGUUUGUUGCAGACGUGUUUCCUCGUACUUGUUAACUUUUUUUUUUUUUUUUUUUGAGACAGGGUUUCACUCUGUCACCAGAGCUGGAGUGCAGUAGCACUAUCAUGGCUCACUGAAGCCAGGACUUCCUGAGCUCAAGCAAUCCUCCCACCUCGGCCUCUGAGUAGCUGGGACUACAGGAUCACAUCACCACAUCCAGCUAAUUAUUUUAUUUUAAUGUUUUUCUUCUGUAGAGAUGGGGUCUCACUGUGUUGCCCAGGCUGGUCUCAAACGAUCCUCCCGCCCCAGCCUCCCAAAGUGUUGGGAUUACAGAUGUGAACCACUGCAUCCGGCCUACCUUUUCAGUUGUUGAUGUGAGAAAGUUUUGCUUUAGUCUAUGUGCUGCUGAAGCGAGCAUAAGAAAGUUUUGUUUUAUUUUUAUUUUAUUAUUUAUUUAUUUAUUUAUUUAUUUAUUUAUUUAUUUAUUUUGAGAUGGAGUCUGGCUUGUCUCCCAGGCUGGAGUGUAGAGGGAGGUGUGAUCUCGGUUCACUGCAAGCUCCGUCUCAUAGGUUCUCGCCAUUCUCCUGCCUCAGCCUCCCGAGCAGCUGGGACUACAAGUGCCCGCCACCACGCCCAGCUAUUUUUUUGUAUUUUUAGUAGAGACGGGGUUUCACUGUGUUAGCCAGGAUGGUCUCGAUCCCCUGACCUCGUGAUCUGCCCGCCUUGGCCUCCCAAAGUGCUGGGAUUACAGGCAUGAGCCACCGUGCCCGGCGAGAAAGUUUUGUUUUAAUGUGCCAAAACUUAGCAGUCUUCCUUUAUGGUUUCUGCCUUUAGAGUUAUGUUUAGAGAGGCUACCCGCAACCUAAAACUACAUUGAAUGUCUGCAGUUUUAUCACAGAAAAUAAGUUUUGGUAGCUGGUAGUUUAAGUACUUCCCCUACACAAAGAUUCUGGGUUUUUUUAUUCUUCAUAACUUCUUGGCUAGAAUCACUUCAUUUAUUCUUCCAAACUGACAUGGAGCCGGCACCCCUCUUACAGGCCUGCAGGAAGUGGGGAGGGGGCAAGCAUGGAAAUAAAGGAAAAUCUUGAAUUCCUUCAAGGGAAAUUCCAGGCACCCAGCUAGCAACCUAAUAAACAAGAAGUUACAGUCACAAAAUGUUUGGUUCCCUAUAGAAACUAAAGAUAACAUCUUAAUAUAUGUCCCUGAGUUGCUCUUCAGAAACCUGGGCCCCCCUCCCAAGUGGAUGCCCUGGCCUGCAGACCUCAGACAAGAGGGAACUGAGGACUAAGCUCUGCUGUUCUUUGUUCUAAAUUUCUUCCUGAGGAUCCUGAUGGAAGUUGGACCAGACCUGAACAUUCCUUUCUGCUAACCCCAAGGUUUUAGGCAAAGCUUUGCUUCCUUAACUUAUCACAAAUCAGAGUCUUUGAAUUCAUGUAUGACCUUUAAGGCUCCUCCUUCAAAAUACCCUGCCCUUUGAGGCUAAACCAGUGCAUAACCUCCAUGUAUCAAUUCACGAUUUUGCCCAUAACUUCUCCUUUCCUGAAAUUUACCCCUGCUUUUAAAAACACUUGCUUGUGGCCGGGCCCAGUGGCUCAUGCUUGUAAUCCCAGCACUUUGGGAGGCCGAGGUGGGCGGAUCACAAAGUCAGGAGUUCAAGACCAGCCUGGCCAACACAGUGAAACCUCGUCUCUACUAAAAAUACAAAAAUUAGCUGGACGUGGUGGCAGGAGCCUGUAAUCCCAGCUACUCGGGAGGCUGAGGCAGGAGAAUCACUUGAACCCAGGAGGCGGAGGUUGCAGUGAGCCAAGAUCAUGCCACUGUACUCAAGUCUGGGCGGCAGAGCUAGACUCCGACUGGGGGAAAAAAAAAACCUUGCUUGUAAACCAUCGAAGAGGUUGUAUCUUAAGUAUGACCCACUUCUCCUCGCUUGGUGCCCUGCAAAUAAAUGUGCUCCUUUCUCCGGAUGCACAACCUCAGUGUUGGUGUUUCCUCUUACUGCGCCGGGCAAGUAGACCCCAGUUCAGUUUUGUAACAAAAUGAACUUUAGAAUUUCUUGUCAAUGUUUUAAAAACGUGAUUGUCUUUAAGAUUCAUUCUCUCCACUCCAUUCAUUCAGGUCUUAUUUUACCUGUCCCAGUCAAGUUGACUAAUCUGUACAUUAACUACUUAACUUUUAUACUUUUUUUUUUUUUUUGAGACAGUGUCUAGCUCUGUCACCCAGGUUGGAGUGCAAUGGUGCAAUAUCAGCUCAGUGCAACCUCCGCCUCCCAGGUUCAAGUGAUUCUCCUGCCUCAGCCUCCCUAGUAGCUGGGAUUACAGGCACGCACCACUACACCUGGCUAAUUUUUGUAUUUUUAGUAGAGAUGGGGUUUUGCCAUGUUAGCCAGGCUAGUCUUGAACUCCUGAACUCCUGACCUCAGGUGAUCGGCCCACCUUGGCCUCCCAAAGUGCUGGGAUUACAGGUGUGAGCUACCGCACCCAGCCCAACUUUUAUACUUUAUAAAAUAAAAUUCACAAAUAUGAAAAAAGUCUUUGUCAUAUCAUAUAGUUUGGGGGUUCUGAAAAUAUGGUUAUAGCAUAUUGUGGAAUAUAGGCCAAGUUUAGUAGUUACGGAAGAAUGAAUUUUUCUACCAACAGUACAAUAAGAAGAUGCUCCAGUUUUUACCUAAAUACUUAGUAAUUUAUUAGUUAACAUUUUGGGAGGCUUUACUUUGUGUCAGGCAUGGUGAUAAACUCCUCACAUACAUAUCUCAUUUAAUCCACUCAACAACCCUAUGCAAUACUCUUCUGGUCCUUAUUUUACAAAUGUAACAACCGAGACUCUGAAAUGUUCAGGAACUUACUCAAGGCCACUCAGCGGGAUAGUGGCUGAUUUGAACCCAAGCAGUGCCCCUGUGUCCUCAAUGUUAACCACUAAAGUUGCAUGUGUGCUGGCCUGGGCACAGGGUAAGCGUGGGAUCCCCCAGGGUUAACGAGUGAGUUUGGACAUCUAAUGCUUCUCCAUUCCUAAAAUUCCACUUGAUCCCUACGUUCCUGCAAGAGCCUGCGAAGCAGAAUUCCUUCAUAGACUCACAAAGUAUCUUCUCCUUGUCUGUAAUCCGUCUUUCAUAGCAGAAAGGUUCUUCAUUAAACAAGGCCCUAACCUUCUUUCUCUCUCCCCAGCCUCCAUUAGAGGAAAUGUCUCUUCUCCCAGUCAGGAGUUAACCACCUGCUGUAACUUCCUCUUUAGCAUCGCCAGAGGAAACUAAGUAUGACUGUGCCUUCACUCUGCAGAAAGAAAAUGAGUGGCAAAGGAGUUGCGAAGGGAUUCCUGAGCCUUUAUGCCAGCUGGAAGCUUAAGGCCUUGGUAUUUGAGACUUCACCCUUCAAAAUGUCUUGGAGGAUGGCCCAGCAACCAGCCAAAUGGCCCAAUGGCCUAGCCCAGUGGAGACGGUCUCAGCUUUUGACAAGCUAGCCGGAGAAAGGGCUGGACAGGAAGGGGCCCACUGGACAGCGAAUAUUGAUAGGGCCCCUGGGAGGAUCAAUUUUCCCCUCCAACAGUGCCUGGCUCCCAUUAUCAGAUUAGAUGCAAAGUGGGCUGGCAUGCCAGGGGGUGACAGGAACAGUGUCUCCAGAAAUCCUCUGUGAAGACACCCAAGUAUUGUUCAGAAGUGGCCCUGUAUCUGGAAGAGGGAAAACUGCACCCACUUCUUGCAGACAUACAGUUCCAGCUCCCCCCACAGGACUUGCUCAUACAUCCAACAAAUAUUUAAUCAGUGCCCACCAUCUGCCACUGUGCCAGGUGCCCGGCCUCAUCAUGAGUCAGGCAGAGGUGGUCUGUGCAGUUUUCCCACAAUGUGAGAGGGUGCUGAGAAGACUUUUAACGCUUAUUUAACUACGGAAAUAACUCUUGGUUUGGUACCUACUACAAAAUAAAAACAAGCGCUUGUUGAUAAUUUCUGGAUGGAUGACUGUGGAAAGCUGGAGGAGACUGAGGAUCAAUUUGCUCUAAUGAACCUUCCCUUGACUAUCAUCUCCGUUACCUCCUGCCGCAUCCCUACGGCAAAUAUGCAAGACUCUCACGCAGCUAAUUUCCAGGGGUUUGCAGUCUGGGGAGGAAGCAGAAAGCACAUCCCUCACUGACCCUGAGGAGGGGCAAAUCUCUGGUAGCAGUCACAGGUACGUGCUGUACACACUUCCCAUCCUUUGAGCCUUCCCAGCUGGAGAGCACCAAGAGAACGCAGUUGGGGAGGCCCCGAAAGAUGAAGGGUUGUUGAGCUUGAAGGCAGUGAAAAAGUAAAUGGAAGAAAGCUCUCUGCCCUCCACUGCCUAAAUGCAGGAUAUAGAUUUAGAAGGAUAAAAGGGGUCUGCUCCCUCUCUCGACCAGGGAAAAGUUAACCACUGAAGACAACUUUAGACUCUUAUGGGCCUGGAGCUGGAACCAGAGGAAUGGACAUGAAGGCGCUUUACUAACUCUAUUUAUCUGCCAGUUACUUACCUUUCUACAAGUUCUCCCCUUAGACACUCAAAGUUCUUUUCCUUUGUCCUGUCGCUUCCCUAAAACUUGGCUUUUCUUUGUUGAAGAUGCUAUACAAGCUGGAAUUCAAAGCUACCACUUUGAGAACUACUCAAUUCCUGCGUGUCUCCCAGGCAGAUGUGAAAUACACAUGUUAAUAAACUUCCACUGGUUUUUCUCUUGUUAAUCUGUCUUUUGUAACAGGAGUCCGUUCCAAC